rnacentral:lncRNA from 1 species
CCGGUACCAAAAACAAUUUUUUAAAAUUAAGUAUCACAUCAUUUCUCUUAUGUGAGAAACCCCAAUUAUAAGUCAAUUAAAGAGCAAAACAAAAUGUAGACAAUAGGAAACAGGCAGAUAGACCUUUUGCAAAAGGGAAGAGGAUAAGAAAAGAAUGCAGAUGUGUGAGGAACACCAAGUCCCUGUGAGGAAUGAGGCUGUCCUGCACUGCAAGCAUCACUGAGGUGAACAAAGACUAAAAGAAUUAUUACAGGGCCAGGGAUUUAGCUCAGUGGUUCCGUUGCCUGCCUCGCAAGUGCAAGGACCCGAGUUCGAUCCCUGGUACCAAAAAAAAAAAAAAAUUAUUACAGUGAAAGACAGUGCCCUCGACUCCUCUCAAAAUCCUCCCCCUCGCUUUGAACAUAUCACCCUUCUGCUUGGCCCUUUCUGGAGGAGUUUGGGCGUGUCUUUAGUUCCUUGAUGCCCCGAAUUGCCUCAAAAGUUUAUCUUCUGUGGUCACUUUUUUGUUGUUGUUAACAGGGACUGAACUCGGGUCCUUGGGCUUGCACAGCAGGCAGCGAAACCACUGAGCUAAAUCCCCAGCCCCCUUCCAUGGUCAUUUUGACUUUCAGUAUGAGCUGGAGAUCACAGGGUGUCAGAGCCACUGUAGGAGGACGAGGACACAGUGUCAUGUUUUUCACGAGCUCCCUGCCCAGUGGAUGGCGCUCAGCCUCAGCAGCUACUGUAUUUUUAUCACACCUCAUGAAGACACUCAUAAAGGACUUCUAGAGGUGCUUCAGAAAGGGGCAAGAAUGCUGGGAUAAGGGUGCUAGAGGUCAAGGGGAUUUUGUUUGCUUUUGAGGCAAUCUCUCGCCAUGUAGUUCAGGCUGGGCUUGAACUCACUAUGUAGCCCAAGCUGAUCUUGAACUCACAUUGAUCCUCCUGCCUCAGCCUCCCAAGUGCUGGGAUUACAGGCAUGCACCACCAUGCCUGGCAAGGGGUAGUAGUUUGAGGAGUAUUAGUAGCAAUGUGUCUUUUACUGUCAUAAAUUCUAAAAAACAUUGAAGCAUUCGUCGUGUAUCUGACCACACCUGUGACCCUCAGGAUGCAGUCAAAUGGAAUACGUGCUGGGACCAAGGCCAGAGGAGCAUCUCCCGACAGCGUAGGGUUUAUCUCUGGUCUUCUUAAAGGAAUUCCUAAAUUUAAAAAUGCAGCAAUUAAAAAGGAAAUUAUGGGCCAGUGGUUUAGCUCAGUGGUGCUGCUGCCUGCCUUGAAAGCGCAAGGUCCCAACUUCGAUCCCUAGUACCGAAAAAAAAAAAAAGAAAGGAAAUUAUUAUUAUAAAAGUAAGGGUAGUUGUUACAUCUAGGGCAGAGGAAGAGGAUAGGUAUGUUUUGAAAGGACAUACACAGGUUUUUCUGAUAGGUAGCAGUAACUUUUACCAUUAGAAAUCAUUAUAAAGUCCAGCUGGUAUGGUGUCACAGGCCUGUAAUCCCAGCACUCCAGAAGGCUGAGGCAGAAGGGUUCUGAAUUCCAGCCCAGCCUAGGUAAUUUAGGGGCUCAGUGACCCCGUCUAAAAACAAAUCAUUAAGUGAAUACAGUGUUUUGUUUGCCUCUGCCUGGAACUGUCCCAGUUUAAACUUUAAAGUAGGUAAAUGUUAACGCUUCUUCAUUUCCCCCUUGCAUUCCACGCAGGUGGCAAGCCUAUUAGUUGCUGUCACCCACACCCAGGGCAGGUCUUCUGUCUUCAGUAAACCCCUCCAGGCUCACUCAAAACUAUGCUGAUCCAAUUUAGUUGGGCAUUCCUUACUUGAGUUGACACAGUCAGUUAACUGUGACAGUACUCUCUAUCAAAAAAGAAAAUAGUAUGCUGCCCUACACUGGCAGGGGCCUCUUGGAUCUCAAGUUUACAACCUCAGUCUCUCCCUCGCCUUCUCUCUCCUCUCUGGGACCAGGGAUUGAACUGUGGGGCUUCACACUGAGCUACAUCCCCAGCCCCUUUUAUUAUUUUCAGACAGUCUCACCAACUUGCCCAGGCUGGCCUUGGAAUCCCCCUGCCUCAGAUUCUCUAGUACUUGGACUCACAAGUGCACGCCACCAUGCCCAGCUUACCAAUAGGCCACGUCUAGUGACCGAGCUAGACCAUGUGUCUGGGCAUGGACACGCUAUAAUUGUUUGUUUUUUUGGUGCCAGGGAUCGAACUCGGGUCCUUGCACUUGCUAGGCAAGCGAUGGAACCACUGAGCUAAAUCCCCGGCCCUGAUUGUUUGUUUUUUGAGACAGGGUCUCACUAUGUAGCCCAGGCUGGCCUGCCACUCACGGUGAUCCUCCUGCCUCAGCCUCCCAGGUGCUGGGAUUACAGGUGUGGGUUAUGGUGCCCAGCUGUGAUGUUCGAGCAGUGACACAUUUCUCAUAGCAGGUUCCAUCUUUAGUGUGAUUUGGAGCUGUGCGAGAGAGAGCACGCUGUAGAAUGGAGCUGUUUUCUCUUUGGGUGGCAGGAAUUCCUAAGUCCUGGCUGUGCUCCACCCGCAGUGCUGCCCACUUGGUCUUCCUGUAGGACAGUGGUUAUGCUCCAAGUCCUCAGAGCCCCAGUUCUUACUGAACAGAGUCACACCCUGAACCCACAUUCAGCCUCCACAGCCAGCCCGAGCAGCUUUCAUGCAGUUUUUAUGCAUACACUUGCCAGACCCUCAGAGGAAGUUUUGGAGAUAACCUCUAAUCAAUACUGUAGCUCUCCAAUGCCCACUACUGUGCUUAGACCCAAUUAGAUGCACAAUAUGUAACUGAUAAAUAUAGAAAGAGAGGAAAUGGGGUAAGAAAUAAAACAUUUAAAAUUUAAAGGAGCAUAAAAUUAAGAAUGUAUUAGUAAAUAGAAAUAAGUCAAAUCUUUAGUCUGUUGGUAUUUAAAAGACUUAGAUGUUUCAGAGGGACUAUUAAAGAUAGAAAACACCCAGUUGGGUCUGACUCAGUGCUUCGUCUCUGCAUGGGGUUUGACUCACUACAGUAGAAUUUUAAUUCUUCUUCUUCUUUUUUUUUUUUUUUUGGUACCAGGGAUCAAACUUGGGACCUUGUGCUUGGGGGGCAGGCGCUGGAACCACUGGGCUAAAUCCCUGGUCCAGUAGAGUAGAAUUUUAGCUCCUGCUUCAGAGGAAGGAGAAAAAGGCCAUGGAAUGAAUUUAGUAAUGUGGGAAAACUGCAAGUUAAAGCUCUGCUGUGUAGAGUGAGGCAGGGUGGCACAGCUGGCAAUCCCAGGACUGAGUUCGAGGUCAGCCUGGGUUGCAUAGCUCAGGAGACCUGUCUCAGAGAAAAAAAAAAAAGCUCUGCUGUUAGAGCCAUGCAGGUGUGAAUCUUACUACUGGGUGGGUCAGAAUUCAUUCUUCAGUUUCGGAGGACAGGAGCUCCGCAGUCUGACACCUACUGAUUGGAAGUUAUAGUUCUCCUGUAUCAGCUCCAGGGUGGAGCCCUUACUAGGAUAUAUGAGGCCCUGCAUUUGGUCCCCGCCACCAAAAAAAAAAAAAAAUCAAAUCAUCAAGUAAAUGAUAUUGCAGAUUUUACUUUACUUUGGUUUUCUUGGUAACUUGAGAGGAAUCCUCAUUUUGCCUAAAAGAGUUCUACAUAUUUAAGCAAGUGACAGUGCUGCUUCUGAGAAAGCCCUCUCGGGGGCCAAAAGACUUGAUUGUAGGGCAAGUUUGGGUUGAUGCAAGUUUCCCAGUUCCCGGCUCCUCCGAACACCUGUGCGCUGCCAUGGCUGAGAUGUGGCUGGAGUGGUGCAGCCCAGAGCACACGGCUGUGUGAAGCUCCGGUUCAAGCCCCGCCCCUCCCGAGACUGCUGAAGUGAUGGCUGAGUACUUUAUGGCUGGCAAGUUUCCAGGAAAAAGGCGCUUCUCUAGAAAAUCAGAGCUUUACGUUGAGAAAUCAGAUGUGUAGGGACCCUCGUGGUGUCUCUCUUUCACUCUUUCAGAAAAUCAAGUGCAUCAAACUCCACAGGACAUGAAAAUGUAAUCCCCACACUUGCAGAUCAGGAGUUUAUCUCUCGCAGAUGAGAAAACCUAAGCUGCCUUUCCCCUCAGGGUCCAGUGAAGGAUUCCCCCAGGAGAAGAUUUCAGAAGUGAUCCCUGGACGCUGGUCGUCCUACAACCACCUGUCCUACAGGUGGGCAGAAGUUGCUGUAAGCCUGCAGCGGCUGGGCCCUGAAGGGAGGACAAGCCUUUGCACCAAAAGCCUCCGAACUUGAAGAAGACUCCUGUGGCUAAGGAGAGUACUUGGGUAAGGUGACCAGAUGACUGUGCGGGUGAGUGUCAUGAAGACUGGAGGCCACGACCGCCACAACUCGUGGCAAAGAUCGCUCAGAUGUCUGCCAGGGAAUUUGAGCUUGGUUUAUUUUACGCCGCAAGCUGCCCGAGUGAGCGGGCCCUUCCCGUGCUAUGCAGAACACUUUGCUGUGCAUGCCUGCAUUUCUAGCUUGCCUCUAGCGGAGCGCCACACUUUCCUGAGUUGUUGCUUUCCUUGAAAUCCGCAGGGAAAUGUCUGUAGGUUUGGCAAUCUUGGCUUCCCUUCCUUUCCCAUACUCCUGUUCCAAAACUGCAUUUGCAAUGCGAGCGCCUUUAACCAUCUUCCCUCCUACAGCCCUGAACACUUGUGGCCACAUUUUUAAAAAUGUUUUAUUUUAUUUUUUUGGUACCAGGGAUGGAACUCGGGUCCUUGCGCUUGUGCAGCAGGCGGUGAAACCACUGAGCUAAAUCCCCGGCCCUGUGGCCACAUUUUUAAUAAACUUAAUUUAAAACAGCUCCAUUUUCAAUCAGUUGGCUUAGAAGAAGCAUAUGUAACCUUUGUCAGAAAUCUAACCUUUUCUUAUUGAAAAUUUAUUUUUUUAAAAAAAUUUUAUUUAUUUUUGAGACAGAGCCUGGGCUUGAAUUCACUAUGUAGCCCAGGCUGGCUGAGAACUCGCGGCAAAUCCUCCUGCCUCAGCCUCCCAAGUGCUGGGAUCACAGAUAUGCAUCACCAUGCCCGCCCCAACUUUUUAAAAACUUCUAUAAUGACAUUAAAAAUUUUUUAUUUUUGGCUUUUUGAGAUACAGUCUUGCUAUGUAGUUUGGGCUGGUCUUCAACUAUGUAGCCCAGGCUGGCCUUGAGCAAUCCUCCUGCCUCAGGCUCCUGUGCUGGUAUUACAGGCAGCUAAAUUAGAUAGAAAUAAAUACACAGUACAUUCAGAGGGGGACUGGGUUAUCAAAGAAGUCAGUGAAGCAGGGGAAGGCAUUAGAAUCGUAGCUGGAGGCGCAUCUGAAGAAGGCCAGGCCUCAAGGUAGAGAUGCAAUGGCCAGGCCUGCAGGCCUCCCUAAGGGAUAAAUAAUAAUUGUGAGAUCACAUUGUGAUUAGCACCACCUGGUGCAGGAAGUCCAGAUGGGCAUCGGUUGCCCAGGUGGGUGACAGAGCACUGGACCUUCCCUUCCCAAACUGCCUCUGUUCUUCCCAUCCACCCUUGCUGUGUGACUCGCUUCCCUGCUGCAUCAGUACCAGCUCAGCAGCUGUGGUUGUGUGACCCAUGCUGCACCCACCUCGUGUCUUUGCCGUAGAAAUUACCCCUGACAAAGGAUCAGUGGCCACCCCACUUGGGACCCCUCCUGCAAAUCCAGGAGCUAUUCUUCUCCCCUUAUUUCCAAUAAAACUUUGCUAACUUCUUUUGGUUUGCAACUUCAUUUCUCAAUGCUGUGGGACCACGAACUCGGCACAUCUGACACCCAGCAGGUCGGGAGUUACAGUUCUCCUUUGUCACCAGGAUUCAGAUGUGCGCCACAGUGCCAUUCUAGUAACUGCACACCAGGUCUGUGAGUUGGGUUUCUUUCACCAGAACUCAUUUCCUGAAGAGAGCAGUAUGAGAAUUGGGGGUAGGAGAAACAGUACUAGAAACCAAAGGGCUGGAAACUAGUCAGGACAUUAACAUUUUACACAUAUUGUUCCCUCCCUCCUUCCCUCCUUUUUCUUUCUUUUUCAGACAAGGACUCCACUAUGUAGCCCAGGCUGGCCUUGAACUCACCAUGUAGCCUUGGCUGGCCCCAAACUCACAGCCUACCUCCUGCCUCAGCUUCCUGAGUGCUGGCGCCACCACACUCGGCCUACACCGCCUAUCGUUUUGAAUUCCUGCCAUUGUUCCAGGGCCUGGUGAUAAGGCAGUGAACUAAACAGACAAAAAUUCUUACCCUCCAGGAGCUUAAAUUCUAGUGGGAAGAGACAGAUAAACAGCUCGAAGGACAAUUUACACGGAACAUUAAAAUGGAGCACAGGGCGCUUACAGAGAUCAGAAAGAGGUGGGAUGCAACUGCUUCGCCAGCGUUUAACCUGUGAGAAAAACAGACCGGUCGGGGCCACUUCGCGCGUCCCUUCCAGACGCGACUGGAGUCGAGGCGGGGCACUGGGUCCCAGACUUCCCUUCUCCCGCGCCACCUAGGAACCUACAGGAUUGGGCAGUGUGAUUAACAAUAAGCGUUUAUGAGUAGAAGGGAGGGUGUGAGAGACACGAGAAUAAAGUGAGAAGGGGGUAAGGAAGAUGGGAGGGACGUAGUGAUCAGAAUAUAUGCAAAUAUGCAAGUACCACACCGAGCCCAGUAUUACGCAAAAUUAAUGUAAAACCAAU